CUUACCUUUCAAGUCUAUUGUGGAAAACGUCCCUACCUUUCAUUUUUUGGCAUUUUUGCCCUCAUUUCAACAUUUCUUUGCGCUGGACGUCCUUCCGUCCAUAUUCCGUCAGUUUUUCCGUUAAUUAAAGGGUAAUUGGCACAAAACGUCCCUACCUUUCAAGUCUAUUGUGGAAAACGUCCCUAUCUUUCAUUUUUUGGCAUUUUUGCCCUCAUUUCAACCUUUCUUUGCGCUAGACGUCCUUCCGUCCAUAUUCCGUCAGUUUUUCCGUUAAUUAAAUACAAAAAUACCUUUUUCUUUCCAUAAACAAGGAUAAAAUUGUCCUCACCCACUUCACCCAUUUUUCCCACCAUCAACUUAGUCCAUAAGUAACAGUAGCAGCAACAUGAAUCUGAAAAUACUUUAAAUGAUUAAGUUAAAUAUCGUGAACACAUUAUAUUUCACAAUUCCACAACUACUGUUGCUGUCAUCUUAUGUCACUGAAAAAUUUUAGAAAGACAUAUUAAAUGGGUAGUCAAUUUAUAAUGAGCCAAAAUAGUGAAUGGCUCUUUUUGGCUCAAUGGAGAAGAUGAAUGGCUCAUUUUAAAUUGACUACCCAUUUAAUAUGUCUUUCUAAAUUUUUCCAGUAACACAAGACGACAGCAACAGUAGUUGUGGAAUUGUGAAAUAUAAUGUGUUCACGAUAUUUUUUCUUUAUUUAACUUAAUCAUUUAAAGUAUUUUUCAGAUUCAUGUUACUGCUACUGUUACUUAUGGACUAAGUUGAUGGCGGGAAAAAGGGGUGAAGUGGGUGAGGACAAUUUUACCCUUGUUUAUGGAAAGAAAAAGAUAUUUUUGUAUUUAAUUAACGAAAAAACUGACGGAAGGACGUCCAGCGCAAAGAAAGGUUGAAAUGAGGGCAAAAAUACCAAAAAAUGAAAGGUAGGGACGUUUUGUGCCAAUUACCCGAAUGUUUAACGGAAAAAUUGACGGAAUAUGGACGGAAGGACGUCCAGCGCAAAGAAAGGUUGAAAUGAGGGCAAAAAUGUCAAAAAAUGAAAGGUAGGGACGUUUUCCACAAUAGACUUGAAAGGUAGGGACG
rnacentral:lncRNA from 1 species